AGGCAUUAACGCCAGCGGGGCCGCCAUUGUGCCGGGCCCGGAAGUGACGUCACGCCGGUUGCCCCGAAGCGUUGCCUGGCAACGGCGUUUGUUGUUAGCAACGGCCAAGAUGGCGACGGGAGCGGCCCGGGUGUUCCAGCCUCACCUGUCCCACCUGCGGGCGUGUCCCCGGUGACGCUCUGGGCGCAGGUGAGGAACUCCCUCACCUGGGGGCCGCACUCGGUCGCGCUCCGCGGCCGCUCCCGCAGGCAGCGCUCGAAGGCGCCGAAGGAAUCGGAGCAAUCCCGGCGGAUCCGGCGCACCAGGGGG